rnacentral:rRNA from 1 species
GAUGAACGCUGGCUGUGUGCCUAAUACAUGCAUGUCGAGCGAAGCACUUCGGUGCUUAGCGGCGAAUGGGUGAGUAACACGUACUUAACCUACCUCAUAGUUUGGGACAACAUUUGGAAACGACUGCUAAUACCGAAUAUUCCUUUUCCUCGCAUGGGGAAUUGGUAAAAGGCCCGUUUGGGUCGCCAAGAGAUGAGAGUGCGGUACAUUAGUUAGUUGGUAGGGUAAUGGCCUACCAAGACGAUGAUGUAUAGCGGGGUUGAGAAGCUGAACCGCCACACUGGGACUGAGAUACGGCCCAGACUCCUACGGGAGGCAGCAGUAGGGAAUAUUCCACAAUGAGCGAAAGCUUGAUGGAGCGACACAGCGUGCAGGAUGAAGGUCUUCGGAUUGUAAACUGCUGUUAUAAGGGAAGAAAAACUGGUGUAGGAAAUGACAUCGGCUUGACGGUACCUUAUCAGAAAGCACCGGCAAACUAUGUGCCAGGAGCCGCA